rnacentral:rRNA from 1 species
GACGAACGCUGGCGGCGUGCCUAAUACAUGCAAGUAGAACGCUGAAGGAGGAGCUCGCUUCUCUGGAUGAGUUGCGAACGGGUGAGUAACGCGUAGGUAACCUGCCUGGUAGCGGGGGAUAACUAUUGGAAACGAUAGCUAAUACCGCAUAAGAGUAGAUGUUGCAUGACAUUUGCUUAAAAGGUGCAAUUGCAUCACUACCAGAUGGACCUGCGUUGUAUUAGCUAGUUGGUGGGGUAACGGCUUACCAAGGCGACGAUACAUAGCCGACCUGAGAGGGUGAUCGGCCACACUGGGACUGAGACACGGCCCAGACUCCUACGGGAGGCAGCAGUAGGGAAUCUUCGGCAAUGGACGGAAGUCUGACCGAGCAACGCCGCGUGAGUGAAGAAGGUUUUCGGAUCGUAAAGCUCUGUUGUAAGAGAAGAACGAGUGUGAGAGUGGAAAGUUCACACUGUGACGGUAUCUUACCAGAAAGGGACGGCUAACUACGUG